rnacentral:rRNA from 1 species
GACGAACGCUGGCGGCGUGCUUAACACAUGCAAGUCGAACGAAAAUACCAAGCUUGCUUGGUUGAUUAGUGGCGAACGGGUGAGUAACACGUGAGUAACCUGCCCCUUACUUUCCUGGAUAACUGCUCGAAAGGGUAGCUAAUAUGGGAUAUUCUGACCAGCCUGCAUGGGUUGGUUUGGAAAGGUUGUUUUUCUGGUAAGGGAUGGGCUCGCGGCCUAUCAGCUUGUUGGUGGGGUGAUGGCCUACCAAGGCUUUGACGGGUAGCCGGCCUGAGAGGGUGGACGGUCACACUGGGACUGAGAUACGGCCCAGACUCCUACGGGAGGCAGCAGUGGGGAAUAUUGCACAAUGGGCGCAAGCCUGAUGCAGCGACGCCGCGUGAGGGAUGAAGGCCUUCGGGUUGUAAACCUCUUUCGUCAGGGAACAAGGCACUGCUUUUUUGGUGGUGUUGAGGGUACCUGGAUAAGAAGCGCCGGCUAACUACGUG